UGGUGAUUUUAAAAAGCUUGCUGAAGUUUGGUCAAUUUAUAUUAUAUUUAAAUUCUCUAUAGAUGAUGCAUUAAAUGAACAAGGUGCAAACUCCACUGUGCUUUGCCCCUGCUGCUUUCCAGGGCCACCCACCACCAGGGGAGAAGUUUU